rnacentral:rRNA from 1 species
CGUAGGGUGCAGGCGUUAAUCGGAAUUACUGGGCGUAAAGGGCGCGUAGGCGGCCUUCUAAGUCAGACGUGAAAUCCCCCGGCUCAACCUGGGAACUGCGUCUGAUACUGGUGGGCUUGAAUGCGGGAGAGGGAUGCAGAAUUCCAGGUGUAGCGGUGAAAUGCGUAGAUAUCUGGAGGAAUACCGGUGGCGAAGGCGGCAUCCUGGACCGACAUUGACGCUGAGGCGCGAAAGCUAGGGUAGCAAACGG